GUCGUCACAUCCUCUUUCCGUUGCUCUUCUCGCUUGAGAAACUUCUCCACGAUGAGAGCCAAGUGGAGGAAGAAGCGUAUGCGCAGGCUGAAGCGUAAAAGGAGAAAGAUGAGGCAGAGGUCAAAGUAAGCCCUCAUCCUUGCCAGCUGUGAUCCCGUCAGAGCCUCUCCAGAUGACUGAAACGUGGCUGAAGUGGAUUGUGAGCCUCCAUCGGUGGGAUAAAGACAUCAAACCUGAAUUGAGAUGACUGCUUGUUUCACGGAGCCAACUGUGGAUGUCUGACUGGAAGGUGGCAAAGACGCUGGACAAAUCUCUCAGUAUCAGAGCUACAGCUGCUUUGUUCAUGGACCAUAAUACUUAAGUUUACCCAACAAUUGUCAUGUGGUGUAUUGAACAAUAAAUGAACUGUUAAAAGUGAA